AGCGGCAGACGGGUGAGUAACGCGUGGGAAUCUACCCGGAACUACGGAAUAACAUGAAGAAAUUUAUGCUAAUACCGUAUACGCCCUUUUGGGGAAAGAUUUAUUGGUUUCGGAUGAGCCCGCGUUGGAUUAGCUUGUUGGUAGGGUAAUGGCCUACCAAGGCGACGAUNCAUAGCUGGUCUGAGAGGAUGAUCAGCCACACUGGGACUGAGACACGGCCCAGACUCCUACGGGAGGCAGCAGUGGGGAAUAUUGGACAAUGGGCGCAAGCCUGAUCCAGCCAUGCCGCGUGAGUGAUGAAGGCCUUAGGGUUGUAAAGCUCUUUCACCGGUGAANAUAAUGACGGUAACCGGANAAGAAGCCCCGGCUAACUUCGUGCCAGCNGCCGCGGUAAUACGAAGGGGGCUAGCGUUGUUCGGAUUUACUGGGCGUAAAGCGCACGCAGGCGGAUAUUUAAGUCAGAGGUGAAAUCCCGGGGCUCAACCCUGGAAUUGCNUUUGAUACUGGGUAUNUGGAGUACAGAANAGGUAAGUGGAAUUCCGAGUGUAGAGGUGAAAUUCGUAGAUAUUCGGAGGAACACCAGUGGCGAAGGCGGCUUACUGGUCUGUUACUGACGCUGAGGUGCGAAAGCGUGNGGAGCAAACAGGAUUAGAUACCCUGGUAGUCCACGCUGUNAACGAUGGAAGC
rnacentral:rRNA from 1 species